UGCCAGACUCCUACGGGAGGCAGCAGUGGGGAAUAUUGCACAAUGGGGGAAACCCUGAUGCAGCGACGCCGCGUGAGCGAUGAAGUAUUUCGGUAUGUAAAGCUCUCUCAGCAGGGAAGAAGAUGACGGUACCUGACUAAGAAGCCCCGGCUAACUACGUGCCAGCAGCCGCGGUAAUACGUAGGGGGCAAGCGUUAUCCGGAUUUACUGGGUGUAAAGGGAGCGUAGACGGCGGCGCAAGCCAGAUGUGAAAGCCCGGGGCUCAACUCCGGGACUGCAUUUGGAACUGUGUGGCUGGAGUGUCGGAGAGGCAGGCGGAAUUCCUAGUGUAGCGGUGAAAUGCGUAGAUAUUAGGAGGAACACCAGUGGCGAAGGCGGCCUGCUGGACGAUGACUGACGUUGAGGCUCGAAAGCGUGGGGAGCAAACAGGAUUAGAUACCCCAGUA
rnacentral:rRNA from 1 species